AAAUUUCCUGUUGACAGUAAUGGGCUUAUUUCUUGUUUUUCUCCCGUUUUAAUGUCAGCCGAAUGGUUCAACUUCUCUGAUAAUCCUUUUAAAGAAAAGAUGAAUGUCAAAACUAUAAAAUUUCUUCAAUCAUCAUUGACUUUCAACUGAUUUCAAAUUGAAGCCCAAAGUCCAGAUUCACUCAUUCAACAGGUUGAAGGACAGCAACCUUAAAUGCCACAUAAUGAAAAGCGCAAAGCCACAACAGGUGAUGCCUCAGGCCCUGAGUCACUACUUGGAGGAGACCUGCCCAACCAGAAAAACCUGCAUUGGACUUUUAAGUAACUCAAGAGAGUAACUCAAGAGAAAGUUUUAUGAUGAUCGUUCACUUGGAGCAGCUAGUGUUAUCUUAUCUAAUACAAACCUAACUACAUGUCUCAGUCAUCCUGAAACACCUCACUCUGACAUUAAACCCCUGUUCUACUUGGCAGAGAAAA